UCGAGGAUGUGUCUAUGGAUCCCAUUUCUGGAUCGCCUCUCGAGGCUCAAGCACGGAUUCUAGCUGCCGGCUUUCGGAUCCUCCAGAGGCAAAGCUCUUGCAAGAUUUCCCGGAUUCUGGCUACCUUGCUCGCUUGCAGUCGAGAGCAAGCUUGAAGUUCUUGGAAACAAUCCAGUUUGUGCGAUGAUCUCCUAUCCUGUUAUCGUCGCUAAAGUCGGCUCUUAGUAUGUUUUCGAGGAGGAGAUCAGCCGUGAAGUGCGAGAGAAAGCAGCCUUGGAAGACGUGACCGGGUCUGCGCUGCGAACCGGCCAUAGAUUUGCGUCUUGGCGUGACGAGAAGAACCGCUAUUUCUUCCGGAGUUCACGGAGUUGACGUUCGUCGGUGUUUGGUCUGGAACGCCGGCUUGUGUCGAAUUACAGUCUAGCGACGUCUACAGACCAUCCAGGUUUCUCGAGUUCUUCAGGGAUGUGAUCAACGAGAUUCCACUGCCUGAUUCGAGCUACUGGCACGAUGGCGAGUGUGCUCCUUUCCGGCGCUGGCUUGGACACCAUCUUCGCUUGAUCGUGUCGAAGUUCCCGGAGGAAACUUGGAGCAAAGCCUGGCGCGCAUGGAUUGACGAAGCAAGGGAGGAAGCUGGAUCCAUUUUACCACUCGCGGUAAGUUCUUCUUUUUGUUUGACUAGCGAAGAAAAUGCGAGAAGUUUAUCUGUAGAUAGAACUAAAUCGCGAUUAAUUCUAAUGCGUUGUUAGCUUAUCUUAA